rnacentral:rRNA from 1 species
CGCCAGGGUACUACGAGCUAUGCUUAAAACCCAAAGGACUUGACGGUGCCCCACUCCAUCUAGAGGAGCCUGUUCUAUAAUCGAUGAUCCCCGCUAUACCCUCCCACCACUAGCCCCCAGCCUGUAUACCUCCGUCGCAAGCUCACCAUAUGAGUGUUCAUAGUGAGCCCAAUGAUUAAUCACCAAUACGUCAGGUCAAGGUGCAGCCCAUGUGGUGGAAAGCAAUGGGCUACAAUUUCUAAGUUAGAAUACACGAACUACUACCUGAAAACCGUAGUAUAAAGGCGGAUUUAGAAGUAAGAAGAAAAUAGCGAGUUCUUCUUAAUUCGGCACUGGGUCGCG